rnacentral:rRNA from 1 species
GACGAACGCUGGCGGCGUGCCUAAUACAUGCAAGUUGAGCGCUGAAGGUUGGUACUUGUACCAACUGGAUGAGCAGCGAACGGGUGAGUAACGCGUGGGGAAUCUGCCUUUGAGCGGGGGACAACAUUUGGAAACGAAUGCUAAUACCGCAUAAAAACUUUAAACACAAGUUUUAAGUUUGAAAGAUGCAAUUGCAUCACUCAAAGAUGAUCCCGCGUUGUAUUAGCUAGUUGGUGAGGUAAAGGCUCACCAAGGCGAUGAUACAUAGCCGACCUGAGAGGGUGGUCGGCCAACUCUGGACUGAGACAAGGCCCAAAACCCUAAGGGGGGCAGCAGUAGGGAAACUUCGGCAAUUGACGGAAGUCUGACCGAGAAACGCCGCGGGAGGGAAGAAGGGUUUCGGAUCGUAAAACUCUGUUGGUAGAGAAGAACGUUGGUGAGAGUGGAAAGCUCAUCAAGUGACGGUAACUACACAGAAAGGGACGGCUAACUACGUG